CUCUCCAAGCUGCUCCGAGGGGAAUGGGGAAUCGGCAGGAAAUGACCCGAACUGCCAGCCUGCGCCUUUGCAGCCGGCCCUCGCUUUGCUGAAGACGAGCAGCUCCCACCAAAGUCUUGCCUCCCCUUACCCCGAAAGCCCCGCUCAGGUCAAAGAGCCUAAAAGAAAAGCCCGGGCCGGGCGCGGUGGCUCACGCCUGUAAUCCCAGCACUUUGGGAGGCCGAGGCGGGCGGAUCACGAGGUCAGGAGAUCGAGACCAUCCCGGCUAAAACGGUGAAACCCCGUCUCUACUAAAAAUACAAAAAAUUAGCCGGGCGUAGUGGCGGGCGCCUGUAGUCCCAGCUCCUUGGGAGGCUGAGGCAGGAGAAUGGCGUGAACCCGGGAGGCGGAGCUUGCAGUGAGCCGAGAUCCCGCCACUGCACUCCAGCCUGGGCGACAGAGCGAGACUCCGUCUCAAAAAAAAAAAAAAAAAAAGAAAAGAAAAGCCCGGAGCCAUACACUCACCUGGUUGAAGCCAUAAAGAGUUCAAUAUUUCAAGUGAAAAUCUGCCUGUUCGAAAAGAAAAUAUUCACAAAUGAGCAGUGUAUUAGAAGACAACUGAAUUGCUUCUAAGAAUGGGUCUCACUCUGCCAUCACCCAGGCUGGAGUGUGGUGGCACCAUCAUGGCUCACUGCAGCCUUGAACUCCUGAGCUCAAGUCAUCCUCCCACCUCAGCCUUCCGAGUAGCUGGAACUGCAGGUGUGAGCCACCAUGCCUGGCUGAUUUGUCUUUUUAAAUUUUUUAUAGAGACCGAGUCUCAACUAUAUUGUCCAGGCUGGAAAAGAACUUCUUUCCCUCCAAGUGAUAACCUUUUCCAGACAAGUCAGCUUAAAAACUGACCCAAAG
rnacentral:lncRNA from 10 species